rnacentral:rRNA from 1 species
GGGUUGUGAGGUUAAGCGACUAAGCGUACACGGUGGAUGCCCUGGCAGUCAGAGGCGAUGAAGGACGUGCUAAUCUGCGAUAAGCGUCGGUAAGGUGAUAUGAACCGUUAUAACCGGCGAUUUCCGAAUGGGGAAACCCAGUGUGUUUCGACACACUAUCAUUAACUGAAUCCAUAGGUUAAUGAGGCGAACCGGGGGAACUGAAACAUCUAAGUACCCCGAGGAAAAGAAAUCAACCGAGAUUCCCCCAGUAGCGGCGAGCGAACGGGGAGCAGCCCAGAGCCUGAAUCAGUGUGUGUGUUAGUGGAAGCGUCUGGAAAGGCGCGCGAUACAGGGUGACAGCCCCGUACACAAAAAUACACAUAUUGUGAGCUCGAUGAGUAGGGCGGGACACGUGGUAUCCUGUCUGAAUAUGGGGGGACCAUCCUCCAAGGCUAAAUACUCCUGACUGACCGAUAGUGAACCAGUACCGUGAGGGAAAGGCGAAAAGAACCCCGGCGAGGGGAGUGAAAAAGAACCUGAAACCGUGUACGUACAAGCAGUGGGAGCACGCUUAGGCGUGUGACUGCGUACCUUUUGUAUAAUGGGUCAGCGACUUAUAUUCUGUAGCAAGGUUAACCGAAUAGGGGAGCCGAAGGGAAACCGAGUCUUAACUGGGCGUUAAGUUGCAGGGUAUAGACCCGAAACCCGGUGAUCUAGCCAUGGGCAGGUUGAAGGUUGGGUAACACUAACUGGAGGACCGAACCGACUAAUGUUGAAAAAUUAGCGGAUGACUUGUGGCUGGGGGUGAAAGGCCAAUCAAACCGGGAGAUAGCUGGUUCUCCCCGAAAGCUAUUUAGGUAGCGCCUCGUGAAUUCAUCUCCGGGGGUAGAGCACUGUUUCGGCAAGGGGGUCAUCCCGACUUACCAACCCGAUGCAAACUGCGAAUACCGGAGAAUGUUAUCACGGGAGACACACGGCGGGUGCUAACGUCCGUCGUGAAGAGGGAAACAACCCAGACCGCCAGCUAAGGUCCCAAAGUCAUGGUUAAGUGGGAAACGAUGUGGGAAGGCCCAGACAGCCAGGAUGUUGGCUUAGAAGCAGCCAUCAUUUAAAGAAAGCGUAAUAGCUCACUGGUCGAGUCGGCCUGCGCGGAAGAUGUAACGGGGCUAAACCAUGCACCGAAGCUGCGGCAGCGAC